rnacentral:rRNA from 1 species
AGUGAACGCUGGCGGUAGGCCUAACACAUGCAAGUCGAACGGCAGCACAGUAAGAGCUUGCUCUUACGGGUGGCGAGUGGCGGACGGGUGAGGAAUACAUCGGAAUCUACUUUUUCGUGGGGGAUAACGUAGGGAAACUUACGCUAAUACCGCAUACGACCUACGGGUGAAAGCAGGGGAUCUUCGGACCUUGCGCGAUUGAAUGAGCCGAUGUCGGAUUAGCUAGUUGGCGGGGUAAAGGCCCACCAAGGCGACGAUCCGUAGCUGGUCUGAGAGGAUGAUCAGCCACACUGGAACUGAGACACGGUCCAGACUCCUACGGGAGGCAGCAGUGGCGAAUAUUGGACAAUGGGCGCGAGCCUGAUCCAGCCAUACCGCGUGGGUGAAGAAGGCCUUCGGGUUGUAAAGCCCUUUUGUUGGGAAAGAAAAGCAGCAGGUUAAUACCCCGCUGUUCUGACGGUACCCAAAGAAUAAGCACCGGCUAACUUCGUG